rnacentral:rRNA from 1 species
GAAGGGUGCAAGCGUUACUCGGAAUUACUGGGCGUAAAGCGUGCGUAGGUGGUUCGUUAAGUCUGAUGUGAAAGCCCUGGGCUCAACCUGGGAAUGGCAUUGGAAACUGGCGACCUAGAGUGCGGUAGAGGGUAGUGGAAUUCCCGGUGUAGCAGUGAAAUGCGUAGAGAUCGGGAGGAACAUCCGUGGCGAAGGCGACUACCUGGACCAGCACUGACACUGAGGCACGAAAGCGUGGGGAGCAAACAGGAUUAGAUACCCUGGUAGUCCACGCCCUAAACGAUGCGAACUGGAUGUUGGGUGCAACUAGGCACUCAGUAUCGAAGCUAACGCGUUAAGUUCGCCGCCUGGGGAGUACGGUCGCAAGACUGAA